GGAAGGAUCAUUAACACUGGUCGCUGUGCUUGCACACGACUUGCCAAACCGCGAACCUAAUUGUAUCGAAUCUAGUUAAUACCCUCUUGGGUUUUAACUUGUAUUCGGGCCGUCCCGUCCCGUUGGUUUUGGGUUGGGGGGGAGAGAGCUAGUCUCUCUCUCUUUCCGCCCCAAUGAUCAAAGGCAAGGCGGGCUCCGGCAACUUUUAUAUCUCACAAACCCUUUGCAUGAUGCUUUACUCUGAUGAUUCGUGAUAAGGAUGGCGAAAGCCAAACCCUUUCACAAAAUGAUAACCAAGAAACAACUCUUAACAACGGAUAUCUUGGUUCUCGCAUCGAUGAAGAACGCAGCGAAAUGCGAUACCUAGUGUGAAUUGCAGAAUCCAGUGAAUCAUCGAACCUUCGAACGCACUUUGCGCCCCUGGGUACUCCCAGGGGCACGCCUGCUUGAGUGCCACCUAACUACCUCAUCCAACUGACUUGUUUACUCAAUGUUCUUUUGGAUGGAGUUGAGCUGUCGAAGCCUCUCUUUUGGGGCUCCGUCGCUUGAAAGUUAGUGGCCAAUCAAGAGCAUUACAAGGCCUCUUGUGCAAGCGUGGUACGCCUUUUCAAAGGCAUUCCGCUUGUACCUUUGCUUUAUUGUCUUACAACAGUCUUCGGAUUGCUUAAGGCAGUAAGGGAGAGGAUCUUGUAGUACUCGGCCAAAUACCCCACAGGAGAUUAUUUGGAAUUUUUCUGGGUUAACCCCCGGGGACUUUCUUAAAUACCUUUCUUGGCCUCAAGUCAGACGAGGUUACCCGCUGAAUUUAAGCAUAUUAUUAAGCGGAGGAAAAGAAACUAACUAGGAUUCCCCCAGUAGCGGCGAGUGAAGCGGGAAUAGCUCAAGCCGAAAAUCUGCAGGGUUCCCCUGCCGAAUUGUAGUCUAGAGGAGCGCUUUCUGGGAUCUGCCGGGUAUAAAUCCCUUGGAAAGGGGUAUCAUAGAGGGUGAUAAUCCCGUCUGUGACUCGGAAUAGGUUCCUGUACGAUGCGUCUCCAGCGAGUCGGGUUGUUUGGGAUUGCAGCCCUAAAUGGGUGGUAAACCCCAUCCAAAGCUAAAUAUCGGCGAGAGACCGAUAGCGAACAAGUACCGUGAGGGAAAGAUGCAAAGAACUUUGAAAAGAGAGUUAAAUAGUGCUUGAAAUUGUUAAGAGGAAAGCGAUUGAGGCCAGUGUUUUACCUGUGCUGGAUUCAGCGGUUGGUACCGAACCACUGCGAGCUAGUGACCGCAAGGCUCUACUCGUAGCGCGGGAGGCUUCAUCCGUGUACUUCCAGUAUAGGUAGGCCAACAUCAAUUCUGCUGGUCGAAUAAGGCCCUAAGGGAAGGUAGCAUCUGCUUCGGUAGAUGUGUUAUAGCCCUGGGUGUCCUGCGAUCGGCGGGAUUGAGGAUUCAAAGCAUGCGCUCUGCGGGUACACCUGUCGCCGUGGUUGGUUAUGAACGGAGAGUGCUUGCACUGUCCUUUGUAACUGGCUACGCCCGGCAGUCUAGCUCCUGCAUGCUCGGGAUGUUGGCAAUACGGUCUUAAUCGGCCCGUCUUGAAACACGGACCAAGGAGUCUAACAAGUAUGCGAGUCCUCGGGUGGCAAACCCAUGGGCGCAGUGAAAGCAAGCACGGUGGGAUCCUUUAUCGGUGCACCAUCGGCCGACCAUGAUCAUUCUGAGAAAGGUUUGAGUAUGAGCAUACAUGUUGGGACCCGAAAGAUGGUGAACUAUGCCUGACUAGGGCGAAGCCAGAGGAAACUCUGGUGGAGGCUCGAAGCGGUUCUGACGUGCAAAUCGAUCGUCAAAGUUGGGUAUAGGGGCGAAAGACUAAUCGAACCAUCUAGUAGCUGGUUCCCUC
rnacentral:misc_RNA from 1 species